UGGUGAGUAUAGCUAUGGGGGUACACCUAGUUACAUUCCGAACCUAGAAGUUAAGCCCAUAUACGCUGAUGGUACUUGGCUGGAAGCGGCCUGGGAGAGUAUGGAUUUGCCAAGC
rnacentral:rRNA from 1 species